CCAGGUGACACCACUCAGACUCUGAGGAACGUGCUGAAUCUCCCUCUUCCGGCACAGAGCUGUUCACACUCUUAACUUCAAUCAAAAUCUGCCUCCUCCCCCUGCAGUGUAACUCACUCCCAGUGCUCCUCCUGCCUGCACCUUCAAGGACGCAUGUUACAGGUGAAGAGUUCUCAGGUCCUGCUGGAGGAAGGUGGUUUUGGAGGUGGAAAGGGUUCAAGAUGGUGGAGAGGAGAGGACGACGGAAGCUCAGACAGAGCAGGAAACUUGCCCCAGUUGACAAAGGAUGUGCGAUACGAUUCGGAACCAGGGUUCAGUAUGCUGCCUCCUUUGUGGCUGCAAGAACUGGGAUGGUAGAAGGAACUCACCGUUUACUAAGCUCCUGCUGUGCGCGUGUGAAAGUUCCUAUGCAUUGCCUCAUUUAGUACAACUGCUUUGGGAGUAUGCUAUCAACGCCCCCAUUUAACAGAUGAAGAA